GACGAACGCCGGCGGCGUGCUUAACACUGCAAGUCGAACGAAGAGCGAUGGAAGCUUGCUUCUAUCAAUCUUAGUGGCGAACGGGUGAGUAACGCGUAAUCAACCUGCCCUUCAGAGGGGGACAACAGUUGGAAACGACUGCUAAUACCGCAUACGAUCCAAUCUCGGCAUCGGGACUGGAUGAAAGGUGGCCUCUAUUUAUAAGCUAUCACUGAAGGAGGGGAUUGCGUCUGAUUAGCUAGUUGGAGGGGUAACGGCCCACCAAGGCGAUGAUCAGUAGCCGGUUUGAGAGGAUGAGCGGCCCCAUUGGGAAUGAGACACGGCCCAGACUCCUACGGGAGGCAGCAGUGGGGAAUUUUCCGCAAGGAGAAAGUUUGACGGAGCAAC
rnacentral:rRNA from 1 species